rnacentral:antisense_RNA from 1 species
GGAAUAUGAAGGGAGAAUGAAACAAAACUGCUCCGCUCAGGGAACUUAGAAAUUGAAAAGGCAAGGCACAGGCUGGAAGAAAAUAUUUGAAAAAGAUUUAUGUGACAAAGAACUUCUUUCUGGAUUAUACAAAAUAUUUUUAGAUAUUCUUACAACUCUAAAAUAAGAUAACUCCUUAAAAAUGUGAAUUCUACCAAAGGAGAGAUAAAGAUGACAAAUACAGUCAAAGAUGCUGAAAAUCGCUUAUUUAUUAUUGGGAAGUUACAAGCUACAGCAUAAUGAGAUACCACUACAACCUACUAAACUGACUAAAAUUAAUCAGACUAACCAGGUGUUGGCAAGAAACAGGGACACUGAGACUCUCACACUGCUGGAAGGAAUGUAAAAUGCUAAAAUUUCUUUGGAAACGAGUUCAGUAACUUUUUAAACAGUUGAAAAUAGACCUAUCAUGCAAACCAGCAACCCCACUUCUAGGUAUUUAUCCAAGGAAAAUGACAACAUAUGCCCACACAAAGACUUGUGCACAAAUGACUGUAGCAGCUUUGUGGUAAUUGCUAAAAACUAGAAACUUGUCAAGUGUCCAACAGUCUAUACGAGUCUCUUUGACACAAGUCUCUUUGGUACAGAUGAAGACCAGAGAGCUUGGGAGUCACUUCUGAAGAGAAGAGUGAAUGAGUAAACAAACGUGGAUGAGGCAAACAAAGAACAUACCAAAUGUCAGGAUUCAGAUGGGACUGCUGUAUGAUGUUAAUGAACACAGAGAUCUGGAGAAACCAUGUCAAAGCUUUCCGAGAGAGACCGGGAACAAUACCUGGGGAACACCAAAAA